CUCAAUUGUUUCAUGAGUGGGAAUUCCAUCUCCAUCACUAGACUGUGAGCUUUGCCAGGAGGUAGAGCAUAUUUUAGACAUUGUUUACUGUUCACACUCCUGCAGUAGUGCCUGGUACAGUGUGAUGUUCAAUGAGUGCUUACGCAGAAAGAAAAGAAGAUAGGAAGGAAAAAGAAAGGAAGGUAACAUUUUGAAUUAAAAAAUGAAUCUUUCAUUGUUUCCAUUUCCAACAGUACCAAUCAUGCUGUGGACACUUAAAUAAGAAUCUUCGCUCAACUGGCCAAACAGAAAAAAAAACAUGGGCUUUAGAAUUAUGUAUCACCUUGCCAACAUUACAGUGAAGCUCACAUGAGAUCCUGAAACUGCCCUCAGUGAAGAAACUAAAGCUCAUCAGAUUACCGUGUCCAGAAAGUGAGACACCAGCUCCCCCUAUCCAUCAUGACUGCUUCCUUACCACUCCCUAAUUCCUGUUUUUCCACCUUUCCUGCCAUAUAAACCCCACCAUUUUAGUUGGGUAGAAGAUGGAUUUGCUACUUUAUCUCCUGUUAUCUUUGGCUGCAGCACCAGAUUAAAGCCUUCUUCCCUGACAAUACUCCUUGUCUCAGUGAUUGGCAUUCAUGCCACAAGCAGCAGGACCUAUACUGAACCCCUGGAGUUUUGGUGACAUUAUGAUUACCAGGAUAAGAGACAGCAGCUACUAAUGAAACAUAAAUCAGUGUGGCCGAGGAUGUCAUGCAAAGAAAUGGUCCUUUGCUCAAUCCAGGUGAAAGGUAAGCUUCUAGAAACUUAACUUAACUGCCCAAAGGGAGAAUGGAGGAAGGAGACAGAAAGAAUAUUUGAUUGGUUGAGUUUAAAAAUCUCAAUAAACUAAUUUAAUAGUAGGAGUGAUUUCAUAAACCUGAAUUAAAACUUGAAAAUUUUCAGCUUCUCAUUGAAAUGAGAAUGUCAAGAAAACCUUCGCCUACAUAUAGAUAAAGUUAUAUCUCUUUUUGUACUCAGGCCUGUGUAUUACUAAGACUACACUAUUUAAAUUGACUACUAUACUUUGUGUAUAGUUUGGACUUGAAAGGAAUUUGAUGAGGUUUUGAGAAUAAUAGCAA
rnacentral:lncRNA from 1 species